GAUGAACGCUGGCGGCGUGCCUAAUACAUGCAAGUCGAGCGAACAGACGAGGAGCUUGCUCCUCUGACGUUAGCGGCGGACGGGUGAGUAACACGUGGAUAACCUACCUAUAAGACUGGGAUAACUUCGGGAAACCGGAGCUAAUACCGGAUAAUAUAUUGAACCGCAUGGUUCAAUAGUGAAAGACGGUUUUGCUGUCACUUAUAGAUGGAUCCGCGCCGCAUUAGCUAGUUGGUAAGGUAACGGCUUACCAAGGCAACGAUGCGUAGCCGACCUGAGAGGGUGAUCGGCCACACUGGAACUGAGACACGGUCCAGACGCCUACGGGAGGCAGCAGUAGGGAAUCUUCCGCAAUGGGCGAAAGCCUGACGGAGCAACGCCGCGUGAGUGAUGAAGGUCUUCGGAUCGUAAAACGCUGUUAUUAGGGAAGAACAAAUGUGUAAGUAACUAUGCACGUCUUGACGGUACCUAAUCAGAAAGCCACGGCUAACUACGG
rnacentral:rRNA from 1 species